rnacentral:lncRNA from 1 species
GCAAGGGAAGAACCGGGAAAGCCUAGUGCUGAAGAAGCUAAAGGAGAGGAAAGCUCCCAGAAGCAACAACUGACCAGCAGCACUAAAUCCUACAAAGAGAAUAAUUUGGAGAGAUCACUGGAGACUGCCCCAAACCAGACCAGUGGAAGAGAAGUCAUCCUGCAGAGUUGGGACCAUGUAAGACGAGCCCGCUUCCCCUUUGCCUUCCACCAUGAUUUUAAGUUUCCUGAGACCUCCCCAGAAGCCAAGCAGAUGCCAGAAUCAUGCUUUCUGUACAGCCUGUGGAACUGUGAGCCAAUUAAAUUUCUUCUAUUUAUAAAUUACCUAGACUCAGGUAUUUCUUUGUAGCAAUGCAAGAAUGGACUAAUACAACCAUUGUGUGUCUAGUACCUAGAAACCACCAGGCAUA